rnacentral:rRNA from 1 species
UUGAACGCUGGCGGCAGGCCUAACACAUGCAAGUCGCACGGUAACAGGAAGAAGCUUGCUUCUUUGCUGACGAGUGGCGGACGGGUGAGUAAUGUCUGGGAAACUGCCUGAUGGAGGGGGAUAACUACUGGAAACGGUAGCUAAUACCGCAUAACGUCGCAAGACCAAAGAGGGGGACCUUCGGGCCUCUUGCCAUCGGAUGUGCCCAGAUGGGAUUAGCUAGUAGGUGGGGUAACGGCUCACCUAGGCGACGAUCCCUAGCUGGUCUGAGAGGAUGACCAGCCACACUGGAACUGAGACACGGUCCAGACUCCUACGGGAGGAAGCAGUGGGGAAUAUUGCACAAUGGGCGCAAGCCUGAUGCAGCCAUGCCGCGUGUAUGAAGAAGGCCUUCGGGUUGUAAAGUACUUUCAGCGGGGAGGAAGGGAGUAAAGUUAAUACCUUUGCUCAUUGACGUUACCCGCAGAAGAAGCACCGGCUAACUCCGUG